rnacentral:rRNA from 1 species
AACGAACGCUGGCGGCAUGCCUAACACAUGCCAGUCGAACGAUUGCCUUCGGGUGAUAGUGGCGCACGGGUGCGUAACGCGUGGGAAUCUGCCCUUAGGUUCGGAAUAACAGCUGGAAGCGGCUGCUAAUACCGGAUGAUAUCGCGAGAUCAAAGAUUUAUCGCCUGAGGAUGAGCCCGCGUUGGAUUAGGUAGUUGGUGGGGUAAAGGCCUACCAAGCCGACGAUCCAUAGCUGGUCUGAGAGGAUGAUCAGCCACACUGGGACUGAGACACGGCCCAGACUCCUACGGGAGGCAGCAGUGGGGAAUAUUGGACAAUGGGCGCAAGCCUGAUCCAGCAAUGCCGCGUGAGUGAUGAAGGCCCUAGGGUUGUAAAGCUCUUUUACCCGGGAAGAUAAUGACUGUACCGGGAGAAUAAGCCCCGGCUAACUCCGUG